UGUUAUCAAGUUCACUGAUAAUAUGGAAGUCAAUCGAGAUAGCCGUGAAGUCAAAACGAAACAUGAAAAAGACGAAUCGCGUAUCUAAUCGAUCGAAAUUCGAUGUCCGAAGGUCAUCGUAAGUAACGUCACUUCAAGCAUUUUAGUCACAUGUUUGUUCUUUGUCACGCGGUUUUACCGUACGACAACUAACGACAACCACGAGUUCCGUUUUCUUUGCAAAACGAACAAAAACGGAAGAGAAACAUGUAAAACGAGCGCGUUUAAAUUCGGGAAUUUUAACGAAAUUCGCCCGUGAAGGAUAUCUAUCGUCAAAGAAUUCGCGAGAUAGGAUAAGUGGCACAACGAUGUCUGAAAUAAGGAGUCGUGACUUUACGUAUUUUGGACAAAGGAACAACAAAGAUUCAACUAGUAAACACUACAGAAGUAGAACUUCAGGUGAAAACACCGGUUAUCCAGUGGACCAUAGAAAAAAACGUCACUGUCAAAACGUACUCCGAUCGUAAAACGUUAUCGAAGGUUGAUUUUAGAAUCGCCAACCGAUAAUACCAUACUCCAAUACGCACCAAUAACGGCAAACAAUGGAAUAAUAAUGGAAGAAAAGAUGAUAAAAUAAUGAUAUUUAUUUUAAAAAUACAUACCUCUACGAUUGAACGGCCGAACCCGAACGGCAACCUUUAUUUUAUCCGUAGCCAUGAUUUCACACCGGUAACGCGCACUGUAUAUCCCGAUCACAAGGAACAACUCAAUGCUUUUGAAUACACAAAUA